UACGAAGGGUGCAAACGUUGCUCGGAAUUAUUGGGCGUAAAGCGCACGUAGGCGGCUUUGCAAGUCGGAUGUGAAAUCCCUCGGCUCAACCAAGGAAGUGCAUCCGAAACUGCAGAGCUUGAGUACCAAAGAGGAUCGCGGAAUUCCCGGUGUAGAGGUGAAAUUCGUAGAUAUCGGGAGGAACACCUAUAGCGAAGGCAGCUUACUAGGCUGUAACUGACGCUGAGGCACGAAAGUGUGGGGAUCAAACAGG
rnacentral:rRNA from 1 species